GAUCAUGGCUCAGGACGAACGCUGGCGGCGUGCUUAACACAUGCAAGUCGAACGGUGAAAGAGGAGCUUGCUCCUCUGGAUCAGUGGCGAACGGGUGAGUAACACGUGAGCAAUCUGCCCCGGACUCUGGGAUAAGCACUGGAAACGGUGUCUAAUACCGGAUACGACGCGGGAGGGCAUCCUCUCCGCGUGGAAAGAAUUUCGGUUCGGGAUGAGCUCGCGGCCUAUCAGCUUG
rnacentral:rRNA from 1 species